rnacentral:rRNA from 1 species
CCUACGGGUGGCAGCAGUGAGGAAUAUUGGUCAAUGGUCGGGAGACUGAACCAGCCAAGCCGCGUGAGGGAUGAAGGUACAGAGUAUCGUAAACCUCUUUUGUCAGGGAACAAAGGCGGGGACGUGUCCCCGGAUGAGUGUACCUGAAGAAAAAGCAUCGGCUAACUCCGUGCCAGCAGCCGCGGUAAUACGGAGGAUGCGAGCGUUAUCCGGAUUUAUUGGGUUUAAAGGGUGUGCAGGCGGAUUUUUAAGUCAGCGGUCAAAUCGUGGGGCUCAACCCCAUCCAGCCGUUGAAACUGGGGAUCUCGAGUGUGCGAGAGGUAUGCGGAAUGCGUGGUGUAGCGGUGAAAUGCAUAGAUAUCACGCAGAACCCCGAUUGCGAAGGCAGCAUACCGGUGCAACACUGACGCUGAGGCACGAAAGCGUGGGUAUCGAACAGGAUUAGAUACCCUUGUAGUC